rnacentral:misc_RNA from 1 species
AAGUCGUAACAAGGUCUCCGUUGGUGAACCAGCGGAGGGAUCAUUACUGAGUUAUUAAAACUCCAAACCCUUUGUGAACCUUACUGUCGUUGCCUCGGCGUGAGCUACGGCUACCCUGUAGUUACCCUAUAGCUACCCUGCAGCUACCCUAUAGUUGACCAGUAGCUACCCUAUAGCUACCCUGCAGCUACCCUAUAGUUGACAUGUAGCUACCCUGUAGCCGGCUUAUGGCCCGCCGAAGGACCGCUAAACUCUUGUUUUUUUACCACUGUUUCUCUGAAUUGUAAACUUAAAUAAGUUAAAACUUUCAACAACGGAUCUCUUGGUUCUG